UCCACCACCAACAGUGAUCCACCCCAGCCAUCAACGAGCCAUAUGACCGCCACCACACCACUGCCUCCCUCCACCACUGGUGCUCCAACACAAACUCUCACCAGUUCAAUGCGUAGAAAGAUCAGUAUUAAAAAAAAAAAGAAAAAGAAGGUGUACAAUAGCUGCUCUGCUGGAGCAUACUAGUCGCCGUGGGAUGUGUCAACUUUAAAUGCCAUUUUCUCAAAAAUUUUGCAUUCAGCAGAUGGGAGAAGAGUCCAGGUAUCAAGAUUGCCCUAAAAUAAAAUUUUCAAUUAGUUA